GAGACAAAUUUGAGCUGGGCUGGUCUCUUUGCUAGUUGACUUGCAAUAAAAAGCUUUGCUUUUUCAUAGUAUUGCCUUCUAGUGCCUCAGACGUUACCCUUUUUUACUUGAUAAUAGGGUUAAGAUUCUUUUACCUCCAAAUCUUAAUUUGGAGAUAUGAUUUCUAGCAGGGCUCUUUUCUUACAAAAUUCCACAAAAUGCACCCACUUUGCAUCUUACUGUGUUGAUUAGUGGUGAUCCAUAUUAAAUUUCUGCCUCCCCAUUGCCUAUCCAUUAGGCUAAAUAACCAAGAGUCUGAAUCUUUAUAGGGAGCAUAUUUUUAUUAUUCCACAGUAAAUUGGUGGGCACUGGAGUAUAUGUAGUACUAAAAAAAAAAAGCCCUUAAUGUAUAAACAUGCUCUCUUUAACUCUCUGAGAUGGUUGAAUUUUUAAUAAGGUAGCAAAAGGAGUGAAUUGCAGACUAACUUCACUUUAAACUAUUUCCUCGUAUUAGAAUUCUCAUUGAAUUAAAUCCUCCAAAGUUUUAGUACUAUAAAUAAUAG
rnacentral:lncRNA from 1 species